UACGAAGGGGGCUAGCGUUGUUCGGAAUCACUGGGCGUAAAGCGUACGUAGGCGGACCGUUAAGUCGGGGUGAAAUCCCAGGGCUCAACCCUGGAACUGCCUUCGAUACUGGCGGUCUGGAGUCCGGAGAGGUGAGUGGAACUCCUAGUGUAGAGGUGAAAUUCGUAGAUAUUAGGAAGAACACCAGUGGCGAAGGCGGCUCACUGGCCCGGUACUGACGCUGAGGUACGAAAGCGUGGGAGCAAACAGG
rnacentral:rRNA from 1 species